rnacentral:rRNA from 1 species
GACGAACGCUGGCGGCGUGCCUAAUACAUGCAAGUCGAACGACGUAGCAAUACGGAGUGGCGCACGGGUGAGUAACACGUGGGUAAUCUGCCUUAGAGUGGGGGAUAACCAGUCGAAAGACUGGCUAAUACCGCAUAAGACCACAAGAUCUGCGGAUCAAGGGGUUAAAGGUUUUUCGCUCUAAGAUGAGCCCGCGUAAGAUUAGCUAGUUGGUGAGGUAACGGCUCACCAAGGCGACGAUCUUUAGCUGGUCUGAGAGGAUGAUCAGCCACACUGGAACUGAGACACGGUCCAGACUCCUACGGGAGGCAGCAGUAGGGAAUAUUGCACAAUGGAGGAAACUCUGGUGCAGCGACGCCGCGUGAGCGAUGAAGGCCUUCGGGUUGUAAAGCUCUGUCGCAUGGGAAUAAGACAGUGAAUGUACCAUGCAAGAAAGGAUCGGCUAACUUCGUGCCAGCCGCCGCUGUAAUAC